rnacentral:rRNA from 1 species
ACGGGUAAACGGGGAUUAGGGUUCGAUUCCGGAGAGGGAGCCUGAGAAACGGCUACCACAUCCAAGGAAGGCAGCAGGCGCGCAAAUUACACAAUCCUGACACAGGGAGGUAGUGACAAUAAAUAACAAUACAGAGCCCUAGUGGUUUUGUAAUUGGAAUGAGUACAAUUUAAAUCCCUUAACGAGGAACAAUUGGAGGGCAAGUCUGGUGCCAGCAGCCGCGGUAAUUCCAGCUCCAAUAGCGUAUAUUAAAGUUGUUGCAGUUAAAAAGCUCGUAGUUGGAUUUUGGUAUGGAUGCGGUGGUCCGCCGAUUGGUGAGUACUGCCGUGUGCAUGCCCCCUCUCAUAGACCUGCGGUGGUCUUAACUGGCUGCUGUAUGGGAUAUGGGAUUUUUACUUUGAAAAAAUUAGAGUGUUCAAAGCAGGCCUUUGCUUGAAUACAUUAGCAUGGAAUAAUGAAAUAGGACCUCGGUUUUAUUUUGUUGGUUUCUAAAACCGAAGUAAUGAUUAAUAGGGAUAGUUGGGGGCAUUAGUAUUUAAUUGUCAGAGGUGAAAUUCUUGGAUUUAUGAAAGACUAACUUCCGCGAAAGCAUUUGCCAAGGAUGUUUUCAUUAAUCAAGAACGAAAGUUAGGGGAUCGAAGACGAUUAGAUACCGUCGUAGUCUUAACCAUAAACUAUGCCGACUAGGGAUCGGGGGGACGCGUUUCGCGCUCCUCGGCACCUUAUGAGAAAUCAAAGUUUUUGGGUUCCGGGGGGAGUAUGGUCGCAAGGCUGAAACUUAAAGGAAUUGACGGAAGGGCACCACCAGGGGUGGAGCCUGCGGCUUAAUUUGA